AUUUUUCAACUUGUUUCCUUUCAUCCAUGACACACAGAAUUAGCAAUGGCUUGUUCGGCUUGGCUUCACUCGUCUUCUUUAUCACACACUCUGCUUCCAGUUCUCUGCCGCCAAACUACUAUCUCCACUAUUUUCUUGCGGUUCAACCGCCUCUCCUCCGCUGCUCGCUUCUUCUCCUCAAUUGGCCGGACCAACGCUCUGGUUUUCGCCCUGGCCAAGCGCCGUGAUGGUUCCUUGUCGCUCAAAGAAGACCUAGUCGCUUCUCCGGCUGAUCUUCAUUUUGAACCGCCACUAAAAAUUGUGGAGUAUCCGGACCCGAUAUUGAGGGCGAGAAACAAAAGAAUUGUCACGUUUGACGAUAAUUUGAAGAAAUUAGUCGAUGAGAUGUUCGACGUUAUGUAUAAAACUGAUGGCAUAGGGCUCUCAGCACCCCAAGUAGGAAUGAAUGUACAACUUAUGGUGUUUAAUCCAGUUGGUGAGUGUGGUGAAGGACAGGAAAUUGUCCUCAUUAAUCCAAGAGUUAACAAGUAUUCAAAGAAAAAGGUGCUUUUUAAUGAAGGUUGCCUAUCUUUUCCUGGAAUCUGUGCCGAUGUUCAGAGACCAGAAUCUGUAAAGAUUGAUGCUCGGGACAUUAAUGGUACUAGGUUUUCAUUCAAUUUGUCUGGUCUUCCUGCACGGGUAUUCCAGCAUGAGUUUGACCAUUUGGAGGGGAUAUUGUUCUUUGAUAGAAUGACUGAAGAAGUUCUUGACAGUAUUUGUAUCCAGUUACAGGCCUUAGAAAAGAAAUAUGAAGAUAAGACUGGAUUCCCAACCCCUGAAAGGGUAGAAGCACGUAGGAGGAGGAAAGCUGCAGUCGGUUUUGGAAAAUCAUAAAUAUACAAUGGGCUUCCGCAAAUAAAUCAGGCUUCAUAUAAAUUGUAAACUGAUAAUUUUUAUUCAUUGUCACCUGAAUUAAUAUUUAAACUUUGUUCUUAUUUUGUUGUGUUAUGUUGAAUAGGAUAGGUGAGCUUAGGCAUGAUGCUGAACAUGUAACAUUCAAGAACUUGCUGAGCAGAAGCGUGUAGUGAACACAUUAACAACGAAUAACAGGCCAUCAGUGUGUUGCAAACCUUCGAUUGUUUUUGGUGGACACAUGUAUUCUUCUAUGCAUUUUUCCGGUGCUUUGCAACAUUGGAGGCACUAGUGAUAUAAAUGGCUUUUCUUCACUUCAGCUGAGGCAGAGCACGAAAUCUUCCCUACACCACAGUAAAGCUAGUCUGAUUCUAGCAAGAGUCACUGUUGUAAGGAACACUGGAUUUUGAGGGUUUGCCAGUUUGCAAACAGGUAAUUGGAGGUACAGUGCUUGUUUUCAGUUCUCCAUAUGUUUCCCAA